rnacentral:lncRNA from 1 species
CAUCCAUUCGCCCUUGUCUGCCACUCUGCCUACCCCCCCCCCCCCCCAAUUCCUGGACCUUGUCUCCUUUUCUGCCCCUUGUUGCCCAACCUCUAACUGGGCUCCCACUUCGAGACGCUCCUUAGACUUGCUGUCACCCACCAGAGUUAUUACUCUAGUGCUGAUAAUGCCUCUGUGCCCCCUGGCUGCUCUCACUUCUACUGUCUGCCUUUUCCUUCCGGGGACUCUUUUUUGAAAGGAUAUUUCUAGUUCUUUUGUUGAGUGUCCAUGAGAGAUCAUUCCCAGUGACCCCUUCUGGGUGCCAACUACUGAGGAGGAAUACUUGCACUUUGGGGAGAAGGCUGACUCUGAGAACCAAGCCCGGAAGUACAUGAACGCAGUACGAAAGCGGAAGGGGCUUUAUGUGGAAGAAAAGAUUGUGGAGCAUGCAGAAAAGCAGAGGACACUCAGCAAAAAUAAGUAGCUACCUACUACUGGUGGAUUCUUUUCCUUAUAGUGAAUUUAAAAGUAUCAUCAAGGGUUUAAUAUUGGGAAAAUUUCUUUUUGCCACAUUAUCUCUGUUUAUUCACUUUCAAUAAAGUUGAUCCAUAUAAAUAUUUUAAAGAG